ACGGAAGGCAGCAGUGGGGGAUAUUGCACAAUGGAGGAAACUCUGAUGCAGCAACGCCGCGUGAGGGAAGAAGGUUUUCGGAUUGUAAACCUCUGUUUUUAGUGAAGAAACAAAUGACGGUAGCCAAAGAGGAAGCCACGGCUGACUACGUGCCAGCAGCCGCGGUAAUACGUAGGUGGCAAGCAUUGUCCGGAUUUACUGGGUGUAAAGGGUGCGCAGGCGGGACUGCAAGUUGGAUGUGAAAAUCCGAGGCUCAACCUCGGAACUGCAUCCAAAACUGUGGUUCUUGAGUGGAGCAGAGGUAAGCGGAAUUCCGAGUGUAGCGGUGAAAUGCGUAGAUAUUCGGAGGAACACCAGUGGCGAAGGCGGCUUACUGGGCUGUAACUGACGCUGAGGCACGAAAGCAUGGGUAGCAAACAGGAUUAGAUACCCUGGUA
rnacentral:rRNA from 1 species